rnacentral:lncRNA from 1 species
GUUUCAGAGGGAACUGAGCCCCUCUGACACCUUGGUUUUGGACUUUUAGCCUCUGAAACUGUGAGACAAAAAAAUUCUGUUGUUUUGAGCCACCCAGAUUGUGGUACUUGGUAACAGCAGCCCUAGAAAACCAAACAAUACCUUAGGAAACUCUUUUAAGAAUGUUUCAUAAUCUUAAUUUGUAAAAAAAUAAUAAUUAUUUUGGAGAAUUAAAGAAUCAUAAAAUGGAAAAGAAUAAAAUAAUCUUGGACCAAUACUGUUCAUGAGUCCAGAAUUCUGUGAUAGACAAAGAAAAAAGGUAAGAACAUAUGGAUUUUUCAGUCAUAUGUAGCUGGCUUCAAAUUCUUGCCAAGUCACCUAAUAGCUGUGUGAACUUAAGUUAAAACAUGUUAAGAAUUUCCCGCUUUGGUGCAAUGGGAUUGGCGGCAUUGUGGGAGCACUGGAACACAGGUUCGAUCCCCAGCCCAGAACCAUGGGUUAAGGAUCUGGCCUUACCACAGCUGCAGCUUAAGUAGCAACCUUGGCUCAGAUCUGAUCUCUGGCCCAGGAACUCCAUGUGCCUCAGGGUGGACAAAAAAGGAAAAAAAAAAAAAAAAAAGUGCUAAAAUUAAAAAAUAAAUAAAAAUAAAUAAAUUUGGGAGGGAGUUCUCUGGUGGCCUAGUGGUUAGGACUCAGUGCUUUAACAGCCAAGGCUGGGGUUCAGUCCCCGGUCUGAGAAGUGAGAUCCCACAUCCAAAUGCUGCAUGCAGCAGACAAAAUUUAAAAUAUAGAUAAAUAAAACAUGCUUAGUUUCCUCAUUUUAAAAAUAGAAUCAGGAGUUCCCACCGUGGUGCAGUGCUUUAAGAAUCCAACUGCAGUGGCUCGGGUAGCAGCUACAGCUUGGAUUCAAUUCCUGGCCCAGGAACUUCUGUAUAUCAUGGCUGUGACCAUUAAAAAGGUGGGGGGAGUUCCCCUCGUUGCUAAGCAGUUAAUGAAUCUGACUAGCAUCCAUGAGGACACAGGUUCGAUCCCUGGCUUGCUCAUGGGUUAAGUAUCUGGGGCUGCCAUGAGCUGUGGUGUAGGUCACAGACAUGGCUCAGAUCCCACGUUGCUGUGGCUGUGAUGUAAGCCAGCAACUAGAGCUCUAAUUCAACCCCUAGCCCGGGAACCUCCAUAUGCUGUGGGUGCAGUCCUAAAAAGACAAAAAAAAAAAAAAAAAAAAAAAA